rnacentral:rRNA from 1 species
UCAAGAGAAGAAGGGCGCACGGUGAAUGCCUAGGCAGUUAAAGGCGAAGAAGGACGUGACUAACCACGAAAGGCUUCGGGGAGUUGUAAGUAAACAGAGAACCGGAGAUAUCCGAAUGGGGGAACCCAAUACAGAGAUGUAUUAUUGUUUAAUGAAUACAUAGUUAAGCAAGGCAAGACGCAGUGAACUGAAACAUCUAAGUAGCUGCAGGAAGAGAAAGAAAGAUCGAUUUCCCUAGUAGCGGCGAGCGAAGAGGAAAGAGCCCAAACCGAUUGAUUUAUCAAUGGGGGUUAUAGGACUACGAGAAGGCACUGUAAGAGAUAGCAGAAUUAUCUGGGAAGGUAAGCCAGAGAGGGUGAGAGCCCCGUAAGCGAAAUUUCAAGCAGGCUGAGUAGGAUCCUGAGUAGGUCGGAACACGAGGAAUUCCGAUUGAAUUAGCGAGGACCAUCUCGUAAGGCUAAAUACUAAUAACUGACCGAUAGUGAACCAGUACCGUGAGGGAAAGGUGAAAAGAACCCCGGAAGGGGAGUGAAAUAGAACCUGAAACCGUGUGCCUACAAGUAGUCAGAGCACGAUAAAGUGUGAUGGCGUGCCUUUUGUAGAAUGAACCGGCGAGUUACGUUAUAUAGCAAGGUUAAGUGAGAAAAGACGGAGCCGAAGCGAAAGCGAGUCUGAAGAGGGCGAGAGAGUUGUAUGACGUAGACCCGAAACCAAGUGACCUAUCCAUGACCAGGUUGAAGGUGUGGUAAAACACACUGGAGGACCGAACCCACGUAAGUUAAAAAUUGCGGGGAUGAGUUGUGGAUAGCGGUGAAAUUCCAAACGAACUUGGAGAUAGCUGGUUCUCUCCGAAAUAGCUUUAGGGCUAGCCUCGUGGAAAGGAUAAUGGAGGUAGAGCUCUGUUUGGACGAAGGGCCCGUCAGGGGUUACUGAAUUCAGAUAAACUGCGAAUUCCAUGAAUCUAUACACGGGAGUCAGACUGCGAGUGAUAAGAUCCGUAGUCGAAAGGGAAACAGCCCAGAUCACCAGUUAAGGUCCCAAAAUCUAUGCUAAGUGGAAAAGGAUGUGGAGUUGCGUAGACAACUAGGAUGUUGGCUUAGAAGCAGCCAUCAUUAAAAGAGUGCGUAAUAGCUCACUAGUCGAGUGACGCUGCGCCGAAAAUUUACCGGGGCUAAGCAUAGUACCGAAACUGUGGAUGUUCAUUGAAAGAGAUGAACGUGGUAGGAGAGCGUUCUAAAUGCGGAGAAGGUUGACCGAGAGGACAAUUGGAGCGUUUAGAAGUGAGAAUGCCGGUAUGAGUAGCGCAAGAUAGGUGAGAAUCCUAUCCGCCGAAAGACUAAGGUUUCCUGGGGCAGGCUCGUCCGCCCAGGGUAAGUCGGGACCUAAGGUAAGGCCGAAAGGCGUAGCCGAUGGACAACAGGUAGAGAUUCCUGUACUGUGUUAAAUCGUUAAUAGCGAAGGAGGGACGCAGGAGGCAAGGAACGCAUGGCGCUGGAAGCCAUGUUCAAGCGUUAAGUAUGAGAGUGAGUUAAAUGCUUGCUUUCAAGAAGUACAAGACGUGAAGAGGAGCGAAAUUAAAGUAGCGAAGGUUCUGUAGUCACACUGCCAAGAAAAGCUUCUAGUGAGAGAUAACAUACCCGUACCGCAAACCGACACAGGUAGUCGAGUGGAGAACACUAAGGUGAGCGAGAGAACUCUCGUUAAGGAACUCGGCAAAAUGACCCCGUAACUUCGGGAGAAGGGGUGCUGAUCAAGAGAUCAGCCGCAGUGAAUAGGCCCAAACAACUGUUUAUCAAAAACACAGGUAUCUGCAAAGUCGUAAGACGACGUAUAGGUGCUGACACCUGCCCGGUGCUGGAAGGUUAAGAAGAGAGCUUAGCGCAAGCGAAGGUUCGAAUUGAAGCCCCAGUAAACGGCGGCCGUAACUAUAACGGUCCUAAGGUAGCGAAAUUCCUUGUCGGGUAAGUUCCGACCUGCACGAAAGGUGUAAUGAUUUGGGCACUGUCUCAACGAGAGACUCGGUGAAAUUAUAAUACCCGUGAAGAUGCGGGUUACCCGCGACAGGACGGAAAGACCCCAUGGAGCUUUACUGCAAUUUGAUAUUGGGUAGCUGUUAAACAUGUACAGGAUAGGUAGGAGCCAGAGAAGAUAGUACGCUAGUAUUAUCAGAGGCAAUGUUGGGAUACUACCCUUGUUUGAUGGCUACUCUAACCUCGACCUAUAAGCUAGGCCAGGGACAGUGUCAGACGGGCAGUUUGACUGGGGCGGUCGCCUCCUAAAGAGUAACGGAGGCGCCCAAAGGUUCCCUCAGAAUGGUUGGAAAUCAUUCACAGAGUGUAAAGGUAUAAGGGAGCUUGACUGCGAGAGAGACAACU